rnacentral:rRNA from 1 species
CCCUUAGACGUUCUGGGCCGCACGCGCGCUACACUGACACAGGCAACGAGCUUUCCUUUACCGAAAGGUAUGGGUAAUCUUUUGAAACUGUGUCGUACUGGGGAUAGAUCCUUGCAAUUUUUGAUCUUAAACGAGGAAUUCCUAGUAAGCGCGAGUCAUCAACUCGCGUUGAUUACGUCCCUGCCCUUUGUACACACCGCCCGUCGCUACUACCGAUUGAAUGGCUUAGUGAGGCCUCAGGAUCCGCGCUUAAUGUGUGGAGAAUUUGGACAAACUACGUCAUUUAGAGGAAGUAAAAGUCGUAACA